GCCUCGUAACGCUACUGGCGUGGCGAUCCCACUGUCUAUGGGACGAGACGGGUUCGAUUCCCGUACGAGGCG
rnacentral:tRNA from 1 species